GACGAACGCUGGCGGCGUGCCUAAUACAUGCAAGUCGAACGCAGUGGGGACGGGUGAGUAACACGUGGGUAACCUCCCAUCAGAGGGGAUAACACUUGGCAACAGGUGCUUAACCGAUACUGAUGGAUGGACCCGCGGUGCAUUAGCUAGGUGGUGAGGUAACGGCUCACCAAGGCCACGAUGCAUAGCCGACCUGAGAGGGUGAUCGGCCACACUGGGACUGAGACACGGCCCAGACUCCUACGGGAGGCAGCAGUGGGGAAUAUUCGGCAAUGGGCGAAAGUCUGACCGAGCAACGCCGCGUGAGUGAAGAAGGUUUUCGGGUCGUAAAGCUCUGUUGUUAGAGAAGCGGUAUCUAACCAGAAAGCAACGGCUAACUACGUGCCAGCAGCCGCGGUAAUUC
rnacentral:rRNA from 1 species